rnacentral:rRNA from 1 species
CCUACGGGAGGCAGCAGUGAGGAAUAUUGGUCAAUGGGCGCGAGCCUGAACCAGCCAAGUCGCGUGAGGGAGGACGGCCCUACGGGUUGUAAACCUCUUUUGCCGGGGAGCAACGGGCGUCACGUGUGGCGCCACUGAGAGUACCCGGAGGAAAAGCCUGGGCUAACUCCGUGCCAGCAGCCGCGGUAAUACGGAGGAUGCGAGCGUUAUCCGGAUUUAUUGGGUUUAAAGGGUGCGUAGGCGGAUCGCUAAGUCAGUGGGAAAAUUGAGGGGUGCAACUCCUUACCGCCAUUGAAACUGGCGUUCUUGAGUGGAAGAGAAGUAUGCGGAAUGCGUGGUGUAGCGGUGAAAUGCGUAGAUAUCACGCAGAACCCCGAUUGCGAAGGCAGCAUGCCGGCUUCCAACUGACGCUGAAGCACGAAAGCGUGGGGAUCGAACAGGAUUAGAUACCCUUGUAGUC